ensembl:lncRNA
CAGUAUUCACGUUUGUAGUUCUUUAAUGAAGUGGAACAAAAAUUAAAUACAAUCCAAGACAGUACAAUCACAUAAAAAUUAUUUUCUAGUACAGCAUCGGCUCCUAUCAUGUUUUACUUCAUCAGCUCGUCUCCAUCAAGUGAGUUUACCAUAUGGGGACAGGACAGUAAUUCUUGGAUCAGAGGCCAAAGUGCAUUGAGUCUGUAGCAGGUGCAUGGUUACAGCAUGAUGUCGUAAUGUGUGCUGAAAUCUUAUUUACCUGAUUGAUAAACAGGCUGAAGAUAAAAUAUGGCACUAAAGAAAUGAUAGAGAUUUCACUUUACAGUAUUUAACAUGUUUUUGAAGACACUGGUUUGCUAAUAUUAAGCAUGUAAAAGUUUCAAAUGAUUCAAAACUGCAUAUCGACUUCUCUAUGUGAUAAACUUUUAUUCGAAUUUCAAUUUCAAUUUUGACCCUAUGCUAUUGAAAAUAUGUUCAAGUAAAAGCAAUGGGAAUGGAAUUAUGGGGACUUGGAUAGCUGGAAGGAUAGUAGGGGUGUAAACCUCAGGCUUUCACACGAUACAAUACAAUUUCAAUUCAUAAGGCAAUGAUUCGAUAUUUGACGAUACCAUUGACUCUGCUACGAUCAAUAUGUGACCUACUGUGUUCAGAAUCUCAAGAGGCCUGCUGUUAUGUCACAAGUGAUGAUGUAGGGAAGGACAAUUUCCAAACUAUCAGAGUUACAGGCAAAUCACCUCACCAGUUUAAAAAUAUGAAUUACUUUUGCACACCAGUUGUUUGUCCUUUUUCUCUAAUAAUACAUUUAUGAUUAAUCAAUUGUUGUAUUGAUUCAUUUAAACUGUUGUCUUUCUAUGUUGUUAUGCUCCGAAUAGAUAGGGGUAUGAGUGGAUGGAUAAGAGAGAGAGAGAGAGAGAGAGAGAGAGAGAGAGAGAGACAUAAUUAUUACUGAUGAAGUAGAAAAUGGUUCUCAUCUACAAACCUUAACAUGAAGGAUAUGCACUAUAUGGGCAAAUGUAUGUGGACACCUGACCAUCACACCCACAAUUGUGUGUUGAACAUCCCAUUACAGAUUUAUUCCCCCUUUACUGUUAUAAUAACCUACACUCUUCUGGGAAGGCUUUCCACUAGACUGUGGAAUCGGUACAAGAAUCUCUGCAUAAAGAGUGGGACGGUGCAAGAACAUUCAGAGUACUGUACACAUUGAAUACUGUAUAAAUUACACUUCCAUUUAGAACCUCAUAGUUAGUUACAGUGUGGCUGGUUGGCAUAAAUCGUUUCAGCUUCCAUGUGGCUGUUGGCGUAGAUGUUACUGUGGUUUGGAGGCUUGUUGACAUCAACCUUAUUUCUAGCCUUAGCUGCUUUAAUAAAAAAGAACAAAGCAAGUAAAAAGGUUGCAAGAGAACACAGAACAAAUUUAUAAUCUGAGCAAUAAAACACCACAA